rnacentral:tRNA from 1 species
CCCCUGGUGGUCUGGUGGUUAGGAUGCAGCCCUCUCACGACUGUGGCCUGGGUUCGAUUCCCUGUCAGGGAA